AACGUAGGACGCAAACGUUAUCCGGAAUUACUGGGCGUAAAGGGCGCGCAGGCGGAUCGAUAAGUGAGGCAUGAAAGCUUCGGGCUAAACCUGGAGAGGCUGUCUGAGACUGUCGAUCUGGAGUGCGAUAGAGGGGUGUAGAAUUCCGCGUGUAGUGGUGAAAUGCGUAGAGAUGCGGAGGAAUACCAGAGGCGAAGGCGGCACCCUGGAUCGUAACUGACGCUGAGGCGCGAAAGCAUGGGGAGCGAACGGG
rnacentral:rRNA from 1 species